rnacentral:rRNA from 1 species
UACGUAGGGAGCAAGCGUUGUCCGGAUUUAUUGGGCGUAAAGAGCUCGUAGGCGGUUUGUUGCGUCUAUCGUGAAAACCUGCAGCUUAACUGUGGGCUUGCGGUGGAUACGGGCAGACUUGAGUUCGGUAGGGGAGACUGGAAUUCCUGGUGUAGCGGUGAAAUGCGUAGAUAUCGGGAGGAACACCAGUGGCGAAGGCGACUACCUGGCCUGUUCUUGACGCUGAGGCGCGAAAGCUAGGGGAGCAAACGGG